UACGGAGGGAGCUAGCGUUGUUCGGAAUUACUGGGCGUAAAGCGCGCGUAGGCGGUUUUUUAAGUCAGAGGUGAAAGCCCAGUGCUCAACACUGGAACUGCCUUUGAAACUGGAAAACUUGAAUCUUGGAGAGGUCAGUGGAAUUCCGAGUGUAGAGGUGAAAUUCGUAGAUAUUCGGAAGAACACCAGUGGCGAGGCGACUGACUGGACAAGUAUUGACGCUGAGGUGCGAAAGCGUGGGGAGCAAACAGG
rnacentral:rRNA from 1 species